UCUAUCAAAGGAAAAAAGU
rnacentral:tRNA from 1 species